rnacentral:tRNA from 1 species
GGAGAAUUGGCCGAGUGGCUUAAGGCACCAUCUUGGAAAGGUGGCGAAGUGAAAGCCUUCCGUGAGUUCGAAUCUCAUGUUCUCCGCCA